AGUGAACGCUGGCGGCAGGCCUAACACAUGCAAGUCGAGCGGAUGAAGGGAGCGUGCUCCUGGUUUCAGCGGCGGACGGGUGGGUAAUGCCUAGGAAUCUGCCUGUUUGUGGGGUAUAACGUCCGGAAACGGGGGCUCAUACCGCAUAAGUCCUGAGGGCGAACGUGGGGGAUCUUCGGACCUCACGCUAUCAGACGAGCCUAGGUCGGAUUAGCUAGUUGGUGGGGUAAAGGCCUACCAAGGCGACGAUCCGUAACUGGUCUGAGAGGAUGAUCAGUCACACUGGAACUGAGACACGGUCCAGACUCCUACGGGAGGCAGCAGUGGGGAAUAUUGGACAAUGGGCGAAAGCCUGAUCCAGCCAUGCCGCGUGUGUGAAGAAGGUCUUCGGAUUGUAAAGCACUUUAAGUGGGGAGGAAGAGCAGUAAGUUAAUACCUUGCUGUUUUGACGUUACCAAAAGAAUAAGCACCGGCUAACUUCGUG
rnacentral:rRNA from 1 species